GACGAACGCUGGCGGCGCGCUUAACACAUGCGAGUCGAACGGAAAGGCCUGCUUUCCCUUGUGGAUUGCGGGUACUCGAGUGGCGAACGGGUGAGUAACACGUGAGUGAUCUGCCCCCAACUUGGGUAUAAGCCUGGGAAACUGGGUCUAAUUCCCGAUAGGACUGCAGGGUGGUGCCUGUGGUGGAAAACGAUUUUCUAGUGGUUGGGGAUGAGCUCGCGGCCUAUCAGCUUGUUGGUGGGGUAAUGGCCUACCAAGGCGGCGACGGGUAGCCGGCCUGAGAGGGUGGACGGCCACAUUGGGACUGAGAUACGGCCCAGACUCCUACGGGAGGCAGCAGUGGGGAAUAGUGCACAAUGGGCGGAAGCCUGAUGCAGCGACGCCGCGUGGGGGAUGACGGCCUUCGGGUUGUAAACUCCUUUCGACCGCGAGGAAGCCACCUGGUUGGAAGGGUGGUGACGGUAGUGGUAGAAGAAGCACCGGCUAACUACGUG
rnacentral:rRNA from 1 species